UUAUUCUUUCAUGAUGAAUGAUUUGAGCAGAAGAGUUCUUGAAGACUAUAUUCAUCACCCAAGACUGAAUAUAACG